rnacentral:rRNA from 1 species
UACGAAGGGUGCAAGCGUUACUCGGAAUUACUGGGCGUAAAGGGCGCGUAGGCGGCCUGUCAAGUCAACUGUGAAAUCUCCGGGCUUAACUCGGAACGGUCAGUUGAUACUGUCAGGCUAGAGUGCAGAAGGGGCAAUCUGAAUUCUUGGUGUAGCGGUGAAAUGCGUAGAUAUCGAGAGGAACACCUGCGGCGAAGGCGGGUUGCUGGGCUGACACUGACGCUGAGGCGCGAAAGCUAGGGGAGCGAACGGG